rnacentral:misc_RNA from 1 species
AAACUUUUAUGGGUUAACAGGUUAAUGAUCAGAUGGAAUUUUAGAAGCAAUCUAUAGAACAAUGACAACCCAAAGAGGAAAUGUGAAGAAAUUUUUUUAUUCUUGUCUCACACCAAAAGCUUAAACAUGCCAAAAAAAUCCUAAUCCUCUAUAUGUUUUAUCCUGGCCAUAAGCAAGGAAAACAGGGGAACUCUUUAUUACCAUUGCCACUGCCUACAAGAAGGAAAUGGGGAAUUUUUUUUAACUCUGAGAAAGUUCCUGACCGCGCUUAGCAGCAGCAACAACAGCAUUCAUUAACACGCCACGGAAUCCAGCUUUCUCCAACUCGUAAAUACCAGCAAUAGUUGUCCCUCCAGGUGAUGCAACAUCAUCUUUAAGCUGACCUGGAUGCUUCCCAGUUUUGGUAACCAUAGUUGCUGCCCCUAAAACAGUUUGGGAAGCUAGACCCAAGGCAAGUUCUCGAGGUAGACCUGCAGCCACUCCUCCAUCAGCUAAUGCUUCAAUUGCUAAAUAUAUGUAGGCUGGGCCGCUCCCACUGUUCAUUUGAGGGAAACAGAGUAUUAUAACAUGGCAAAUGGCAUUUAUGACACAGAUGUGUGCCUAUUUGAUGUAUAUUGUAGCCUUUCUGAAAAAAUUAACCAACUCCUUCCCAUAUAAGCAUUAAGAAUAUAAGAAGGAUCCCAAGUAAUGGAUAUUGGUCAGAAUAAUUCUAUUUUCCAGAAAAGGAUCAUACCUCAGACCAGUAAUUGCAUCAAAAUAUUUAUCAUCAGCUCUCCAUACCUUACCAACUGAUCCAAAUAAUUUAGCAAUCAAUUCUCCAUCCUCUUCAGUUGCAGCUCUACCCAGGCUCAUUACUGUUGCUGCCUCUCCUACAGAAGCAGCAGUAUUUGGCAUCACCCUGAUAAACCGGCUGUGAGCAGCCCACUCCUAAAGAAAAUGAAAUAAAAAUAAAAUUAAUUGCAAUAUAUGACAGCCUAAAACUUUGAGAAAUUAAAGAUGUACAAAAGAACAUUAAUUUAUUUUUCAGUAAGGAAGCAAAUGGAACUUUUCAAUUAAAAAAUGAAAAUAGAUAAUGUGAACCAACUAAGCGACUGUCAAUCUAGCAUUCUAAUUAUACUUCAUAGUGAAAAGAAAUAACAAAAUAAAUGAUGUCUCUCUCAUCUUUAGAUUCAUGGCAAGGAUUUAUUCAGCUAGAAAUCAAAUGGCCCACAGGCAAUCAAAACAAAUUUUGGCAAAAAAUAACAUCAAUUUCAGACUACACCAAUGAUCAAAUAUCUAUCAUCAAGAUAUGCAGAUCACAUCAUCAGUCAAUAGUGAAAAUGCACAUUUGGGCAAGGCAUAAAUAGAGACUCUAAUAUCUUAUAUUUAAGGAAAAAUACAGGAAAUGCAUGUUGUAUCAGAAAGUUCUCACCUCUCAGCAGAAAAUUGGCUUAGUAGGGAAUAAAGACAACAGGACUAAUAAAAACCAAAGAACAGGUUUUGCUAUGCAAAGAGGAAACAACAUUCACCUACCUUCAACACUUGCAUCAGAAAAAGGCAAGUGAAGUCAAGUAGCACACAAUUAGGUUGAUUUGCCAUCACAACAAACUAAUGAAAAAGGACCAUAUGACAUAAUAGAAUGGCUUAAAUUCAUAAGAUCAACAACUAAGCCUUCAUCACAAACUAAUUGGGUUUGGCAAUACGGAUCCUUUUUUUGCCAUUCAAAUCAUUUUGAAAUCAAUUCCAACAUCAAUUCCAUUCAAAUUUUUUUAAAUCAUUUUAAAUGUUGUACCUCAGAUGCACAACAUUUAUUCUCAUAUGACAUAGCUGUAUGAAUACAUUUUUCUUGAACUUACCAAAUAAUCUAUGUGAAUCAAAAUCUUACCUAACACAAAAAAAAAGGAGGGAGGAGGGAGGGCAAGUGAAGUCAAGUAGCAUUGUCAAGUUGAAUUGACAUU